rnacentral:rRNA from 1 species
UACGUAGGGGGCUAGCGUUGUCCGGAAUCAUUGGGCGUAAAGAGCGUGUAGGCGGCCCGGUAAGUCCGCUGUGAAAGUCGGGGGCUCAACCCUCGAAUGCCGGUGGAUACUGUCGGGCUAGAGUGCGGAAGAGGCGAGUGGAAUUCCUGGUGUAGCGGUGAAAUGACGUAGAUAUCAGGAGGAACACCUGCGGUGUAGACAGCAUGCUGGACCAUUUCUGACGCUGAGGCACGAAAGCGUGGGUAGCAAACAGG